rnacentral:rRNA from 1 species
GACGAACGCUGGCGGCGUGCCUAAUACAUGCAAGUAGGACGCAGUUGCGAACGGGCGAGUAACGCGUAGGUAACUGCCUAUUAGAGGGGGAUAACUAUUGGAAACGAUAGCUAAUACCGCAUACUAGUAGAUGGACCUGCGUUGUAUUAGCUAGUAGGUAGGGUAAUGGCCUACCUAGGCAACGAUACAUAGCCGACCUGAGAGGGUGAACGGGCAGACUGGGACUGAGGCACGGCCCAGACUCCUACGGGAGGCAGCAGGAGGGAAUCUUCGGCAAUUGGGGGAACCCUGACCGAGCAACGCCGCGUGAGUGAAGAAAGUUUUCGGAUCGUAAAGCUCUGUUGUGAAGGGAGCGGUACUUAACCAGAAAGGGACGGCUAACUACGUGCCAGCAGCCGCGGUAAUUC